rnacentral:rRNA from 1 species
AUCCUACGGGAGGCUGCAGUGGGGAAUAUUGGACAAUGGGGGGAACCCUGAUCCAGCCAUGCUGCGUGUGUGAAGAAGGCCUUUUGGUUGUAAAGCACUUUAAGUGGGGAGGAGGCUCUCUUGGUUAAUACCUAAGAAGAGUGGACGUUACCCACAGAAUAAGCACCGGCUAACUCUGUGCCAGCAGCCGCGGUAAUACAGAGGGUGCGAGCGUUAAUCGGAUUUACUGGGCGUAAAGCGCGCGUAGGUGGUUAAUUAAGUCAAAUGUGAAAUCCCCGAGCUUAACUUGGGAAUUGCAUUCGAUACUGGUUAGCUAGAGUAUGGGAGAGGAUGGUAGAAUUCCAGGUGUAGCGGUGAAAUGCGUAGAGAUCUGGAGGAAUACCGAUGGCGAAGGCAGCCAUCUGGCCUAAUACUGACACUGAGGUGCGAAAGCAUGGGGAGCAAACAGGAUUAGAUACCCUGGUAGUC